rnacentral:rRNA from 1 species
GCUCAGGAUGAACGCUAGCGGCAGGCUUAACACAUGCAAGUCGAGGGGUAACAUUGGUGCUUGCACCAGAUGACGACCGGCGCACGGGUGAGUAACGCGUAUGCAACCUGCCUGUAUCAGGAGGAUAGCCCUUGGAAACGAGGAUUAAUACUGCGUAACAUUAUUUUAUUGCAUGAUAGAAUAAUCAAAUCUACGGAGGAUACAGAUGGGCAUGCGUACCAUUAGCUAGAUGGUAAGGUAACGGCUUACCAUGGCAAUGAUGGUUAGGGGUUCUGCAAGGAAGAUCCCCCACACUGGUACUGAGACACGGACCAGACUCCUACGGGAGGCAGCAGUGAGGAAUAUUGGUCAAUGGAGGCAACUCUGAACCAGCCAAGCCGCGUGAAGGAAGACUGUCCUAUGAAUUGUAAACUUCUUUUGUGACAGAGUAAAAAUAGCUACGUGUAGUUAUUUGCAAGUAUGUCAUGAAUAAGCAUCGGCUAACUCCGUGCCAGCAGCCGCGGUAAUACGGAGGAUGCAGGCGUUAUCCGGAUUUAUUAGGUUUAAAGGGUGUUCAGGCUGUCUGAUAAGUCAGAGGUGAAAGUCGGUUGCUUAACGAUCGAAUUGCCUUUGAAACUGUUAGACUCGAGUAUGGAUGCGGUAGGCGGAAUGUGUAGUGUAGCGGUGAAAUGCAUAGAUAUUACACAGAACACCGAUUGCGAAGGCAGCUUACCAAACCAGCACUGACGCUGAAGCACGAAAGCGUGGGUAGCGAACAGGAUUAGAUACCCUGGUAGUCCACGCCGUAAACUUUGCUCACUCGCUGUUGGCGAUACACAGUCAGCGGCUAAGGGAAACCGAUAAGUGAGCCACCUGGGGAGUACGAU